rnacentral:rRNA from 1 species
AACGAACGCUGGCGGCAUGCCUAACACAUGCAAGUCGAACGAGAUCUUCGGGUCUAGUGGCGCACGGGUGCGUAACGCGUGGGAAUCUGCCCUUUGGUUCGGAAUAACAGUUGGAAACGACUGCUAAUACCGGAUGAUGACGAAAGUCCAAAGAUUUAUCGCCAGAGGAUGAGCCCGCGUAGGAUUAGCUAGUUGGUGUGGUAAAGGCGCACCAAGGCGACGAUCCUUAGCAGGUCUGAGAGGAUGAUCAGCCACGCUGGGACUGAGACACGGCCCAGACUCCUACGGGAGGCAGCAGUGGGGAAUAUUGGACAAUGGGCGAAAGCCUGAUCCAGCAAUGCCGCGUGAGUGAUGAAGGCCUUAGGGUUGUAAAGCUCUUUUACCCGGGAUGAUAAUGACAGUACCGGGAGAAUAAGCUCCGGCUAACUCCGUGCCAGCCGCCGCAGUAA